rnacentral:rRNA from 1 species
CAUGGGCGGACGCAGAAUUCGUGAGGCUGGGUUCCGAAGAGAUGAUACGGCCACAUUCGACUGAAAAGGUCGGAAACCCUACGGAGGCAGCAGUGGGAUAUGAACAUGGCGAAGCUUGAUUCAAGCAUGCCGCGUGGGUUGAAGAAGCUCGGGUGUAAAGCACUUUCAGUGGGGAAGAAAGCUGGGGCUAUACCCUCGAGGAAGGACAUCACCCACAGAAGAAGCACCGGCUAACUCCGCGCCAGCAGCCGCGGUAAUACGGAGGGUGCGAGCGUUAAUCGGAAUUACUGGGCGUAAAGCGCGCGUAGGCGGUCUGAUAAGCCGGGUUGUGAAAGCCCCGGGCUCAACCUGGGAACGGCAUCCGGAACUGUCAGGCUAGAGUGCAGGAGAGGAAGGUAGAAUUCCCGGUGUAGCGGUGAAAUGCGUAGAGAUCGGGAGGAAUACCAGUGGCGAAGGCGGCUUCUGGACUGACACUGACGCUGAGGUGCGAAAGCGUGGGUAGCAAACAGGAUUAGAUACCCUGGUAGUCCACGCCGUAAACGAUGUCGACUAGCCGUUGGGCUCCUUGAGAGCUUUGUGGCGCAGUUAACGCGAUAAGUCGACCGCCUGGGGAGUACGGCCGCAAGGUUAAAACUCAAAUGAAUUGACGGGGGCCCGCACAAGCGGUGGAGCAUGUGGUUUAAUUCGAUGCAACGCGAAGAACCUUACCUACCCUUGACAUCCUGCGAACCCUUCGGAGACGAAGGGGUGCCUUCGGGAACGCAGAGACAGGUGCUGCAUGGCUGUCGUCAGCUCGUGUUGUGAAAUGUUGGGUUAAGUCCCGUAACGAGCGCAACCCUUGUCCUUAUUUGCCAGCGAGUAAAGUCGGGAACUCUAAGGAGACUGCCGGUGACAAACCGGAGGAAGGUGGGGACGACGUCAAGUCAUCAUGGCCCUUACGGGUAGGGCUACACACGUGCUACAAUGGUCAGUACAAAGGGUUGCGAACUCGCGAGAGCAAGCCAAUCCCAGAAAGCUGAUCUCAGUCCGGAUCGGAGUCUGCAACUCGACUCCGUGAAGUCGGAAUCGCUAGUAAUCGUGAAUCAGAAUGUCACGGUGAAUACGUUCCCGGGCCUUGUACACACCGCCCGUCACACCAUGGGAGUGGACUGCACCAGAAGUGGUUAGCCUAACCUUCGGGAGGGCGAUCACCACGGUGUGGUUCAUGACUGGGGUGAAGUCGUAACAAGGUAACCAAUCUCUAGAGGUCCCCCCGACCCCGUUACU